rnacentral:lncRNA from 1 species
GGGUCGUUUCUUACGGUCUAGCACUGUUUCGUGGACCGACGUGUGAUCGGAUGGUCUGGAUGCUUGCGGUCGAGAUCUAAUGGUUCAGGUGUUUGUUUGAGUGCUCUAAUGAUUUCUAAUCCUAUUCUAAUUGAUUUUUUAAGCCUUUUAAAAGGCUGAUUAAGGAACAGAACAUGUUGUGGCGGCGCUGUUUUCUUCAGCGGAAACAGAAAACCCGAAUCAGAGAGAGAGCAGAUGCUGUAUC